rnacentral:rRNA from 1 species
UACAGAGGUCCCGAGCGUUAGGCGGAAUCACUGGGCUUAAAGCGUGUGUAGGCGGAUUUGUAAGUACCUUGUGAAAUCCCACGGCUCAACCGUGGAACUGCUUGGUAUACUGCUUAUCUUGGGCCACUUAGGGGUUACCGGAACAAACGGUGGAGCGGUGAAAUGCGUAGAUAUCGUUUGGAACGCCAAUGGUGAAAACAGGUAACUGGGAGUGUGCCGACGCUGAGACACGAAAGCUAGGGGAGCGAACGGG